rnacentral:lncRNA from 1 species
GCCUGUUGUGCUGAGGAAUAUUUUACAAUCUUUGUCCUUCUCCAUCUAUCCAAAUCCACCAGUUGUCUUGCAGGGCUGGGGUGUGUUGUGGUGGGGACCCAACCUUUGUGCACCCAAGCUGGAAUGGCCUCUGUGCAAUUCAUGUCACUGGGAUGGUGGCACCACUUCUAAACACCCUGAAGGAAAAGGAAUGGAAGAACAAUUACUACUAUUUUAAAAGGAUGUGCUUUCGGUUUUGGCCACUGAUCCUUCAAAAGAGGUAAAUCAUGGCAAAGUGGAAAAGAUGGAAGGCAGUUUUAUUCAGUGAUGGAAUUUAUCUCUCCAAUAUUUCUUGCUUUGACUUUUACUAAGUAGAAUCAACAUCAGUUACAAAAAUGAGUGAACUGUGUUCUUAUCUCCGUGAAAAAUCUCAACUUUUUAAGGAAAUUUUUUGGGUUUAAGGCUUGACCAAGGAAGA